CACUCGGUUGGCUAGUAGUGGGUGACAGCUUGACCCCCCGUGUUUGUUUGCCUAUAUUUGCUUUCAUUGUGGCAAAUUCGCGCCAUUCAAAUGACGCCGAAUUGUCCGCUGGCAGCUCUUGUCUCCGAUUUGGAACUUAAACGCGCAGAGUACUACCGCCGGGUUACACGGACACCGAAGAAAACCUUAAAACCCGAGGAUUCCCGUGGGAGUUCCGGCGCCAGCCGCGAGGAGCGUCUCUGGGAUUUCCUGGCGGGUUUGCGGACGCGUGUUCGCAUUGGGCCUCGGAUGUCCGCGGGAAGCCCUGCAAGCACCUGCAGCACCAGCCGGAGCCGGCGGUCCAUGGCCCGGAGAUGAGGCUGGAUGAGGACGGGGGACAGCCGGUCGCGCAGAAGGGACUCCUCCAUCAGCGCGCUCAGCUGGUACUCCUCUUUGGCCAGCAGCUGGAGACGCAGUAACUAGCGGAGGCGGGAAACAAGGCAGGAGAAAGAAUGAGGCAGUGAGGCUCACUCUCUGACACUUGGCCGUCCUGUCUGCCCUUGUCAAAGCCCGACACCCCCCUUAUCUCCACUCCCGGCCUCCCCACCAACAGCCCCCAUCUCAGCUGGCCAAGGUUGGCUCACAGACAAGCCUGUCAUCCAGUCAGAGGUCUGGGAUCUGUCCAAGCGCGGAGCAGAUGUAACCAGGAUUCACACAGACACCUUCGGUCCCACAGGCACGCUCGGCCAUCUCCUGAGACAAAUCCUCAGACAACGUCCUUGGCCCCUCAGCAUUUCACGUGUCUUUAUGUGCUGAUUAACCAUGAGCCAACAUUUACUUAUUUCCAUUACAGCUGAGUAUAUCUGAAACUUAACCCUUUUACUUUUUGUGCAUUCACAUGCUCAUCCCAGAGACAUUGUUCCGAGUUUGGUGUGUUCAUGCGCUGUGAGAUCAGAAUGUGUCAAACUUGUGUACCGUUCUGACGUGAAUUUCCCUGUUAGAAACUUAUUUCCCGAUUAUUCCGACACUACACGAACGCUAUUUCAGCAAGUUCAAAGUUCAAGGUCCAAGAGUACUUCAUUGUCAUUCCCGCCCAUGCACGUAUACAUAUACAGAGGAACAAGCUCUUCAAGUUGACAGUACAAUCUUUGCACGGCUUUAGAAAAAAAAACAAACCCUGCACAGCUUAAAGCGCCCAUUAAAUUUCUCCAAACAUCAAGUGCAGAGUACAAGAAAUGUUUUGUCUGGAAAAACAACUGCACCGUGGGACCACAAGAGCAAUAUUUACCUCAUUAUCUCCUCCAGUAUAUUUUUCUUACUGUCAGUGCUCAAGCACAUACAGUUCUCAUCUGCUUUGAAAAAUAUGUGUUUUUAAUGCUUCGUGGUAACCAGCGUUCACAUUUCAAAUUUAAAAGUUCUGAAAAGUUCUUCAAGAGCCAUAUGGCCCGAUGGACGUGGGCGGUGUGCCCUUUGAAUUUCAUCUACUUAGCAAUCCAGGUAUUGUCAUCAAGUGAAUGUAGCAGUGUCCUUGCUGUGACACUGACAAUUUUCAAUAUAUGCACAUGAAUACGCUGAUAGGAACAUGUGCACAACUAUGCAGCAUCAUUGUGAAAAAUACGAGUGGAAACAACACAUGAGAAGCACCAAAAAGUCACAACGAUCAUAAAAUCACAUCCAGUGCAGUGACAUCAUAAGACACUUUGUUACAAAACCUCAAAGUUAAUUAAUUCUCCGUGAGGUGUGUAAGCAGUGUGAGGUUAAGCACAUUCUGUUUCAUAGUUACUCAGCUAAAUUAAUUAACAGUGAGAGUCCACA